UGGGGGAAUAUUGGACAAUGGGCGAAAGCCUGAUCCAGCGACGCCGCGUGAGCGAAGAAGUAUUUCGGUAUGUAAAGCUCUAUCAGCAGGGAAGAAAAUGGCGGUACCUGACUAAGAAGCCCCGGCUAACUACGUGCCAGCAGCCGCGGUAAUACGGAGGAUGCAAGCGUUAUCCGGAUUUAUUGGGUUUAAAGGGUGCGUAGGCGGCUUGGUAAGCCAGCGGUGAAAUUCCAGUGCUCAACAUUGGCCGUGCCGUUGAUACUGCUGGGCUUGAAUGCGGAUGCCGUGGGAGGAAUGUGUGGUGUAGCGGUGAAAUGCAUAGAUAUCACACAGAACACCGAUUGCGAAGGCAUCUCACGAAUCCGCAAUUGACGCUGAGGCACGAAAGUGU
rnacentral:rRNA from 1 species